rnacentral:rRNA from 1 species
GACGAACCGUACGAACGUUAUUCGGAAUUACUGGGCUUAAAGGGUGCGUAGGCUGUGCAGCAAGUCGGGUGUGAAAUACCUCAGCUCAACUGAGGAAUUGCGCCCGAAACUGCUGUGCUAGAGGAAGAUAGAGGUGAGCGGAACUUAGGGUGGAGCGGUGAAAUGCGUUGAUAUCCUAAGGAACACCGGUGGCGAAAGCGGCUCACUGGAUCUUUUCUGACGCUGAGGCACGAAAGCUAGGGUAGCGAACGGG